GACGGAGGGUGCAAGCGUUGUUCAGAUUGGCUGGGCGUAAAGGGCGUGUAGGCGGUCGGUCAAGUCCGAUGUGAAAGCCCGGGGCUCAGCCCCGGAAGGGCAUCGGAAACUAGCCGGCUGGAGCGCGAUAGAGGAGGGUAGAAUUCCUGGUGUAGCGGUGAAAUGCGUAGAUAUCAGGAGGAAUACCGGCGGCGAAGGCGGGGUCUCUGGGGCCGAUACUGACGCUGAGGAGCGAAAGCGUGGGGAGCGAACAGG
rnacentral:rRNA from 1 species